rnacentral:rRNA from 1 species
CACGUAGGGGGCAAGCGUUGUCCGGAUUUAUUGGGCGUAAAGAGCUCGUAGGCGGUUCGGUAAGUCGGGUGUGAAACCUCCAGGCUCAACCUGGAGACGCCACCCGAUACUGCUGUGACUCGAGUCCGGUAGGGGAGCGUGGAAUUCCUGGUGUAGCGGUGAAAUGCGCAGAUAUCAGGAGGAACACCAGCGGCGAAGGCGGCGCUCUGGGCCGGAACUGACGCUGAGGAGCGAAAGCGUGGGGAGCGAACAGG